GACGAACGCUGGCGGCGUGCUUAACACAUGCCAGUCGAACGGAAAGGCCCUGCUUUUGUGGGGUGCUCGAGUGGCGAACGGGUGAGUAACACGUGAGUAACCUGCCCUUGACUUUGGGAUAACUUCAGGAAACUGGGGCUAAUACCGGAUAGGAGCUCCUGCUGCAUGGUGGUGGUUGGAAAGUUUCGGCGGUUGGGGAUGGACUCGCGGCUUAUCAGCUUGUUGGUGGGGUAGUGGCUUACCAAGGCUUUGACGGGUCGCCGGCCUGAGAGGGUGACCGGCCACAUUGGGACUGAGAUACGGCCCAGACUCCUACGGGAGGCAGCAGUGGGGAAUAUUGCACAAUGGGCGGAAGCCUGAUGCAGCAACGCCGCGUGCGGGAUGACGGCCUUCGGGUUGUAAACCGCUUUCGCCUGUGACGAAGCGUGAGUGACGGUAAUGGGUAAAGAAGCACCGGCUAACUACGUG
rnacentral:rRNA from 1 species